GAUGAACGCUAGCUACAGGCUUAACACAUGCAAGUCGAGGGGCAGCACAGUGUAGCAAUACACGGGUGGCGACCGGCGCACGGGUGCGUAACGCGUAUCCAACCUUCCCGAUACUCUUGGAUAGCCUUCCGAAAGGGAGAUUAAUACAAGAUGGUAUUCAAAUUCCGCAUGUUAUUUGAAUUAAAGAUUUAUCGGUAACGGAUGGGGAUGCGUGACAUUAGAUAGUAGGCGGGGUAACGGCCCACCUAGUCUACGAUGUCUAGGGGUUCUGAGAGGAAGGUCCCCCACACUGGAACUGAGACACGGUCCAGACUCCUACGGGAGGCAGCAGUGAGGAAUAUUGGUCAAUGGUCGGAAGACUGAACCAGCCAAGUAGCGUGAAGGAUG
rnacentral:rRNA from 1 species